UUUGGUGAGCGAGUGAGAGAGAGAAGAACAUUCGUACGCAGUGGGAAAUAUCCAAAGAUUGAGAGAUCAACGGAGUGAGAGAUAGAUGAAGGAAGAUAGUGAUUUUGGAAAAGCAUGAGUGUUUGUUCGAUUACAGUGGAAUGUAUACAAAACACGACGGACCGGUAAACUGUACAGAUGCUGAAGACAAAGUCAAACUUAUUGCGAUCUCCAUAUCAGCUUUUCACGAACUAUAAUAUUUCUUACGACGUUUGACAUUACCGUUUCUAUUACUCUGAUCUUACAUUCCUUCCAGAAACAGAACAGAAAAUGAUAUCGUUUCUCGUAUUAUGUUCUAUGUGUGCAUAUAUGAUUACAUCCAUAUAUUGGAUUAACCUGGAUUAAAAAGGAUUACUUUCAAAUAUGGAUUUACGUGCCUGGACAGUACCUUUGGCGACAAGCUGGUUUGUGGUUCUCAUGUUAUUAUUGGAUGUUUCAAUUGGAUCCACUGCAGAUUUGCACGCACCGUGUUACGCUUGUCGCAUAUUCAACAUCAUGCAGAGGGACAAUCCCAAACAUGACCCAAAGAAACAAACAUAUUUUUACUCAUGAAUACACAGAAAACGAAUGCACGAAUUCCUAAACAAAUAAAACGACAAAUAUUUAUUCUAUCUACUUAGA